rnacentral:rRNA from 1 species
GACGAACGCUGGCGGCGUGCUUAACACAUGCAAGUCGAACGGAAAGGCCCUGCUUUUGUGGGGUGCUCGAGUGGCGAACGGGUGAGUAACACGUGAGUAACCUGCCCUUGACUUUGGGUUAACUUCAGGAAACUGGGGCUAAUACCGGAUAGGAGCUCCUGCUGCAUGGUGGGGGUUGGAAAGUUUCGGCGGUUGGGGAUGGACUCGCGGCUUAUCAGCUUGUUGGUGGGGUAGUGGCUUACCAAGGCUUUGACGGGUAGCCGGCCUGAGAGGGUGACCGGCCACAUUGGGACUGAGAUAGGGCGCAGACGCCUACGGGAGGCAGCAGUGGGGAAUAUUGCACAAUGGGCGGAAGCCUGAUGCAGCAACGCCGCGUGCGGGAUGACGGCCUUCGGGUUGUAAACCGCUUUCGCCUGUGACGAAGCGUGAGUGACGGUAAUGGGUAAAGAAGCACCGGCUAACUACGUG